AUUGAACGCUGACGGCGUGCUUAACACAUGCAAGUCGUGCGAGAAAGGGGACUUCGGUCCCUGAGUAGAGCGGCGCACGGGUGAGUAACGCGUGGAUUAUCUACCCUCGGGCUCGGGAUAACAGUGGGAAACCGCUGCUAAUACCGGAUACGACCGACAGGUGAAAGGUGGCCUCUGCUUGCAUGCUACCGACCGGGGAUGAGUCCGCGUCCCAUUAGCUAGUUGGCGGGUAAUGGCCCACCAAGGCAACGAUGGGUAGCUGGUCUGAGAGGAUGACCAGCCACACUGGGACUGGAACACGGCCCAGACUCCUACGGGAGGCAG
rnacentral:rRNA from 1 species